rnacentral:rRNA from 1 species
GGGCCUUUGCGGCGGCCUAUCAUGCAGUCGAACGAACUCUGGUAUUGAUUGGUGCUUGCAUCAUGAUUUACAUUUGAGUGAGUGGCGAACUGGUGAGUAACACGUGGGAAACCUGCCCAGAAGCGGGGGAUAACACCUGGAAACAGAUGCUAAUACCGCAUAACAACUUGGACCGCAUGGUCCGAGUUUGAAAGAUGGCUUCGGCUAUCACUUUUGGAUGGUCCCGCGGCGUAUUAGCUAGAUGGUGGGGUAACGGCUCACCAUGGCAAUGAUACGUAGCCGACCUGAGAGGGUAAUCGGCCACAUUGGGACUGAGACACGGCCCAAACUCCUACGGGAGGCAGCAGUAGGGAAUCUUCCACAAUGGACGAAAGUCUGAUGGAGCAACGCCGCGUGAGUGAAGAAGGGUUUCGGCUCGUAAAACUCUGUUGUUAAAGAAGAACAUAUCUGAGAGUAACUGUUCAGGUAUUGACGGUAUUUAACCAGAAAGCCACGGCUAACUACGUGCCAGCAGCCGCGGUAAUACGUAGGUGGCAAGCGUUGUCCGGAUUUAUUGGGCGUAAAGCGAGCGCAGGCGGUUUUUUAAGUCUGAUGUGAAAGCCUUCGGCUCAACCGAAGAAGUGCAUCGGAAACUGGGAAACUUGAGUGCAGAAGAGGACAGUGGAACUCCAUGUGUAGCGGUGAAAUGCGUAGAUAUAUGGAAGAACACCAGUGGCGAAGGCGGCUGUCUGGUCUGUAACUGACGCUGAGGCUCGAAAGUAUGGGUAGCAAACAGGAUUAGAUACCCUGGUAGUCCAUACCGUAAACGAUGAAUGCUAAGUGUUGGAGGGUUUCCGCCCUUCAGUGCUGCAGCUAACGCAUUAAGCAUUCCGCCUGGGGAGUACGGGCCGCAAGGCUGAAACUCAAAGGGAAUUGACGGGGGCCGCACAAGCGGUGGAGCAUGUGGUUUAAUUCGAAGCUACGCGAAGAACCUUACCAGUCUUGACAUACUAUGCAAAUCUAAGAAGAUUAGACG